rnacentral:rRNA from 1 species
CAGCCGCCGCGGGAAAACGUAGGUGGCAAGCGUUGUCCGGAAUUAUUGGGCGUAAAGGGCUCGCAGGCGGUUUCUUAAGUCUGAUGCGAAAGCCCCCGGCUCAAUCGGGGAGGGUCAUUGGAAACUGGGAAACUUGAGUGCAGAAGAGGAGAGUGGGAUUCCACGUGUAGCGGUGAAAUGCGUAGAGAUGUGGAGGAACACCAGUGGCGAAGGCGACUCUCUGGUCUGUAACUGACGCUGAGGAGCGAAAGCGUGGGGAGCGAACAGGAUUAGAGACCCCAGUAGUCCCUGUCUCUUAUAC